UGGGUCAAGCCUGCCCAGUGAAUUUUUUUAACGGCCGCAGUACCCUGACUGUGCGAAGGUAGCAUAAUAAUUUGUCUUAUAAUUGAAGACUAGAAUGAACGGCUAAAUGUAAAUAAACCUGUCUCUUAUGCGGCACUAAAAAUUAAUCUAUUGGUUCAAAAGCCAAUAUUUUAUAAAUAGACGAGAAGACCCUAUUGAGCUUAAUUCCUAAUUAUACUUAAUUAAUUUUCCCAUAAAAUAAAAUUUUGUUGGGGCGACAAAGGAACUUAUUUAGCUUCCUUUAAAUCUUUUAUACUAACAAUUAAACCGAUCCAUUUGUAAUGAUCAAAUAACAAGUUACCAUAGGGAUAACAGCAUAAUUCUUUUUGAGAGCCCAAAUCGAAAAAAGAGUUUGUGACCUCGAUGUUGGACUAAGGUAAUCAAAAGGCGCAACCGUCUUUUUAAAUAGUCUGUUCGACUARUAA
rnacentral:rRNA from 1 species